UCAAUCAAGGGCAUUGUACAAGAGAAUAAGGGUAUGGGUUUUGAUCCUGACAAACACUGCAUUUCUUAAUGUUGAUUUGGGAGGCAAAGUUGAAUGCUUACAGUCACGGGAAAUGGGGUUGGUCAGAAGAACCAAUUCGAGAAGUCUUUCUUGGAAAAGUAUGAGGAAGAAGCUCCUGAACUGUCAAAAGGUCAAAGAACUCCCACUAGAAAUUGUCGGUUGAUGUAGAUGUAACGGCUCAAAUAAAUGAAGAUUUUUCAAAAUUUCUCUGGAAAGUUAAUGCAUUUUAGGAGGAUAAUCAUCCGUUCUGCAUCAAACUCAAGGACGCUUCAAUAACUACAGAUAUAACAGUAUAUUGAGCUGAGGAUUUUAAGCAUACCAUACUCGGAUACUUCAACCAUUUCCUGUCAAUUCUUAGGUCACGGCCGAAAUAGUAGAUGGACUAAUAAUGUAUGUGGUGGAUAAGCAGCUAUUUUUUGAAGUUCAGUCAUGUUUUCAGCAAAGUCAGUUUGAUGAUAGAUACUCAAGUCUACCAUUUCUUAGCAACUUGUGAAUGUCUUAGGGGAAAUUCUAGGGAAAAUUUAGUGACAACUUUUCUCACACAAUUUGAUUGGAAAAUGAAAUGAAGGAGAUGAAGAAACAGGAAGAUAUGGAAGAGGAGGAAGAAAAGAAGAAAGAGAAAAAUGGUUUGGUUUGCAUAAUUCGUAUGAGCAGAGUCGGAAAUGGUGUUUUCAUAGGAUGUCUAGCUGUUCGUAGUAAUAUUAUCGACUGGGAGAUGACUCCACAGAGAGCAACAUUUCUCGAAGGUUUGAGGAGAAGCUAAUUAUACACACCUGAAGAGUUAUAUCUAAAGGUCAGGGGUCCUUGUCAUUAUGGGCCCCAAGGAGAAGUCAUUAGUGCUGAUGCAGUUAACCAUGAGACAACGCUACUUUAUCUUCCAGAUUGUCAAAUGCGGAUUGAAAACGUUUCUGAAUUGAACGAAAAAAUAAUUUCUCUCCUGUUUUCGCUAUAGGUUCACAUAAAUGGGAUUAAAGCGAUUUGUCUAUAAAGAGCCUUAUGAAGUUGGACUGAUAAUCAUGGAUGUCAAGAUGGGCCUCGUAAUGGUAGAUUUCAAGUCAGUAAAUGGGCACCAAAACUGUUCAGUGAAGUGGUGGCUUUGUUCCUUCGUAUAAAAAAAUUCUUGAGAAUUCUUUAGUUGCCGGAGCUAUAAUACUGACAAUGAACCUGCAUGCAAUGCAAAAAACAUGUACCUGUAUGCAAUGGAAUUAGGAGGCUUUCCAUGCCAACACACAAUUUGCACAAACUGCAUGUUGGCGUGGAAGGCGUCCUAUUGGUACUUGUAAACCAAGUUGAUGAAGAUUACCCAGUACGUGAAAGUGAGUUUGGGCUUUCUGUGUGAAUCAAAGGCUCUAUAUUAUGUCCGUCCGCUGGAUUAUGUUAACAUAUCUAAUCUUCAAUGUAAGUUGGAAGGACAGGCAAAUGAGUCAUCUGUGCGUAAACUGCUCAAUAAGAUGGCUUAUGAUGGAUUUAUGGAAGACUAGGCAAUGGAGAUUAGUGGUCUCCACUCUGUUGGUUCUGUUCUUACAAGGACUCGAGAAAGAUCAGUUGAUGCUCAUUAGAAUGGAUCGUCUAGAAUUCAGGGGCAAACAACACACCCAUCCACAGAAAUGAGCAGGGUCAAGGAAGACUGGUAUACCAGGGAAUGAUAAGCAUAAUGGUAUGGAUGGGAGAAGGGGAGGAUUCAUCAACUGCGGUAAGGGUGAUGACACCCUCUUCAGUCGUCACAGCCAGGAAAAGUGCUCCAAGAAAACUACCUCGGUGAAAGAACCUAUCCUUCAAAACAUGAAGCGUAAGAAGUAUCAAGGUAGCGUGUUGGAGCGACAGAUUACUGAAAUGGAAAGAGGAAUAGCAUAUAAAGUUGUGGUGAAUGUAAAUGACCAAGUCGGAAACAGGCAUUAGUGCUUCUUACUGUUUCAGAGCAUUUGUUGCUAAUGUAAAUUCUUACAUUUAAAAUCCCUACAUAAUAAUUGCAUGUUUAAGUGAAUGAAUAAUAUUUGGCCGUU